AAUCAACACUCCACUCAGACAAUGCCCAGACCUCCAGAAACCAUGUGUCAAGCUCGGAUUGCCUUAGACAGAAGCUCACCCAGCUGGAACUCUUAUGGGACCUUGGCACCAGAGACCACAAAUUCCUCUUUGAAGUUUUCUAACAGCAACAAUGGUAUUUCUGACUUGGCUUUCUUGUAUUUCUCUCACGUUAACAAAAUUGGUUCAGCAUCUACCAUGGGCUACAUGCUGAGCUACAGAGUUUCGCUCUGUCGCCCAGGCUGGAGUGCAGUGGCGCGCGAUCUCGGUUCACUGCAAGCUCCACCUCCCGGGUUCACGCCAUUCUCCUGCCUCAGCCUCCUGAGUAGCUGGGACUACAGGCGCCCGCCACCACACCCAGGAAAAACGGAGCCCGAGCAGCUAAGGAUCUUGCCCACGGUCACUGAAUUAGCAAUGCUUGUGAUGAACAUUCCCAAAGCUUUUAUGAGCUCUACGAUCUGGAAUAGGUCUCUUUGUGAUCUGUUCUCCUACUUGCUAAAUAUAUGAAAUAUUAAACUUCAUAAUCACAAAGUUUCUGUAUCCAUCUAAAAA
ensembl:lncRNA LUCAT1 lung cancer associated transcript 1